UCAAGUGCGGCAUGUCCCCUUGGCCGAGACCCGGUUUCUUGCGUUGCGUACCCGCAGGAUGGCAUCUGUCUUUGUCCCAACGACCCUCGUUCGUCUAGUGCUCCCCGUUUAGGUGGGGUCACAAGGCGAAGCUUUUAAGUUGGUCCGUUWCCCGCGUCGCGUCCGGCUGUCGUGGUGAACGGGGCACAGCUUAACCUCUCGGAUAUGGGAAGCAUUGGAGGGCAUUGACAUCUCAUCCUUGCCCGAGCAUGCAUUAGAUUGGACCCCAAGACCGUUGCACGACUGUUGCUCCCGCCUCGGUUCGGCCGUGCGGGCAGGACGUUGUUGAGGAAUGCUACCUGGUUGAUCCUGCCAGUA
rnacentral:misc_RNA from 1 species